rnacentral:lncRNA from 1 species
GCAUAUAUUUGGUGGCUAAACUUACGAGUACAAGAAAUGAGAGGGGGAAGAUCUACGCCUGGCGGACGUAACUACUGAUGAUCAAAUGAAUGAUCCUGAACACCUACCUACGUCAGGCAUAACCCCACCGUGUCCUCGAUCGGAGAAGGAUCUCACGAAAGAGACAGUCACGGUUACGCACACAGUUGGCAAGUUUUAAUUAAGUUAACUUCAAGUUAUCUAGAACCAGUGUUAAACAAAGUUUCCACGUUGCCACAUAACCGUGGGCACGGCUUUCCGAAAAGAUUUAACCCUGCAGGGGUGCUCCAAC